CAGAUCAGGUAGGCUCACU
rnacentral:rRNA from 1 species